AUGCCGCAGAAGAAGCGCCUCCGCCGUAGGAGUUCUCCUCGCGAAGGAUCUUCCCGACGGCGCCGUGGCGAAGAUGGCGCAUCGUUGUCUGGAUCCCAAGUCGAAUCAGAUGGCACCACCAGCAGCACGACUUCCGGCGCACCAUUGUCGGAAUCCCUCGAUGAGCCGUCGGACGCCCGGCCGGCUCGCGAGUACGAGUCGAGGUACCAUGAGAUGCUCGCCUCGCGCCUCGCCAUGCUGCCUCUACCAGCCUACGCCGACGAGGAAGGCCCAAAUCUCCCCUCCGACGAAACCGUCGAAGCCCUUGUUCGUCCUUUUUUCUACGAUGACCAGCUGCGGGCUGCUAUGGUAGAGUACCAAUUGCUGAAAGGAGUGCCUAUUGACGAUGCUGCAUUCGACUACGAGUACCCUCCAGAGCUUGCCUUGGACAACCACCGUCUUUACCUGGGAGAUGAAGCCUUCGGCUGGUGGUUUGACUUGGGCGCCUCUUCACCCACGUCCUUGAGCGACUAUCAGCGGCUAGUCCCUUGUAAUGAAGUAAGGGGCGUUGAGUAUGAAAGUUGGAGUAAAUACCGAGAGUUUUAUAGCACCCCUGAAACUGAUAGAGAUUAUCUGCUGUACUGGGAAACGAUUGUGAAGGAUCUUAAGUGGAUUGAAGAACAUGUGCUUAAAGGCUAUAUGGAGGUACACACCUACGACCUCUCAAAACAAUAUCUUGACUCUGUGUUUUUUGAGAUUUGGAAGCUGGUCAAUCGGCAGCAGAUGUCUUUCAGAGAUGCUAUGGAGCAUGUGUAUAAGGAGAACCCGUUUCCAUUACGCAAACGUGAUUUGGAGCACGAGCUGAGUCACCCUGUCUCGUUGGGAUUGGAGGAAGAAUUUCGACGGUGCACGGAGGGCAUCAGCAAGGAAGUUCCAGAGUGGAUAGCGCGUAUGUUAAUUUCGCAGGAAUUUAGUUUCAAGUGUGAUCUGCCAAGGAGGUAUGUGCAUUACGCCAGGAAGAAGCUCAAGAUUGCAGAAACCAUAGGAUUGAUUCCCAAAUCCAAGAUAACAGCAUAG
rnacentral:rRNA from 1 species